AUGGACGCGCUCGUCGCCGGACAGCAGGCCAGGCGGCGGAUCCGGCCGCCGGAGCCCCUCGUGAUGGCCGCCUCCCCGACCACGCCCGCCGCGUUCAAGUGCCCGAUCUCGCUCGAGGUGAUGCGCUCGCCGGUGAGCCUCCCCACCGGCGCCACCUACGACCGGGCGUCCAUACAGCGCUGGCUCGACUCCGGCCACCGCACCUGCCCGGCCACGCGGCUGCCGCUCGCGUCCACCGACCUGGUGCCCAACCUGCUCCUUCGCCGCCUCAUCCACCUGCACGCCGCCACGCUGCCCCCCUCGCCCUCGCCCGAGGAGGCGCUCUCGCAGCUCGCCGCCUCGCACGGUGAGCCCGCCGCCGCGGAGAAGGCCGUGCGCUCGCUGGCCGCCAAGAUCGCGCCGGAGAAAGGGAAGCAGGCCUCCGUCGCGUCCGCCGUCGCCGCUGAUCUUGAUUCCACCGUGCCGGCGCUCCUCUCCUUCGCCAAGGGAGGCGCCGGCACCGACGCGCGCGUCGACGCGGUGAGGAUCCUGGCCACUGUGGCGCCGGAGAUGGUGCCCUACCUGACCCGGGACGGCACCGAGAAGCGUGGGCGGGUCAAGAUGGCCGUGGAGGCCAUGGCUGCCGUCUUGUCCGCGGGCGGAGUCAGCGAAGAUGCCAAGAAAGCCCUCAUCACCGCGCUCGUGGCCGGCGAUCUGGGGCGCGUCGUGGCGACGCUGCUCGCAGCAGGUCCCACCGGCGUCGUGGUUCUCGAGGCGAUCCUGACGUCGCCCGUGCCGGACGCCGACGUCAAGACCGCAAUCGCCGACAGGUCGGAGCUGUUCCCCGAUCUGGUGAGGAUCCUCAAGGAGGCCGCGUCGCCGGCAGCCAUCCUGUGCAUGGCCGCGGCCGUGCAGGUACGCGGGCGGCCCGCACGAGCGUCGAUGGUCCGAGCCGGCGCAGUGCCCGCGCUCGCGCUGGCCGUGGCGGCAGCGCCCACGGCCGCGGCGGAGUCCGCGCUGAUGCUGUUAGUAGAGGCGGCCCGCUGCAGCGACGGUAAAGCAGCCAUCGCCGAGGACGCGGCCGAGGUGGCGGCGGCCGUGAUGGGCAGGAUGAUACGGGUGGGGCAAAUGGGGCGCGAGGCCGCGGUGGCGCUGCUCUGGCUGUCGUGCUGCGCGGGGGGCGGGGAGCGGAAGAUGAGGGAGGCGCUGGCAGCCGCGCCGGAAGCAGUGGGGAAGCUGCUGGUGGUGAUGCAAGGGGACUGCUCGCCGGCGACGUCGAGGAUGGCCGGCGAGCUGCUGAGAGCCGUGAGGAUGGAGCAGGAGAGGAAGGGCAUGGUCUCCUCCUCCUACGACAGCCGCACCAUCCAUGUCAUGCCGUACUAG
rnacentral:rRNA from 1 species